UGCGCAGUUUGCCUGGCGGACAUGACACUUGUAAUGUUGGUUUGGAUUUAUACUUCUAAUACCAUUGUGUUUAUAACAAUUUAACAGUGAAUGUGUAAUACAUCGAAUGUUUAGGUGGCUUGGAAGACCUACGUGAUAUAUACUUUACUUAGCAGAUUAUGUGCUGGUACUGAAGAUUCUUAAUUCAUACAAUGUGUGAUAAAAGAUUCCAUAUUGCAGCUGCACAGCUUCAACGUAAGACUAUCAUAUCUAAAAGAGCUCUUAAGGUAUAAAGGUAUUUUCAAAAUGGGAAGAGAGAAAAAGACAAAGUAUCGAUUUCGCAAACACAUCAGAUAUGACGAUAUACGUGAUGCUAUUAAGAAGUUAAAUAUUCAGACAUUCACAAAAUCGUGGAGGGACGAACAGUCAGAAUAUGGGUUGAUAUGCAAUGCCAUUGGCCGAAAAAACAGUACAGAAAACAGGUUACGGAUACGAGCCCUGAUGAGAAACGAACCAAAACUUGAACUUGAAAAGACGGAGUGGCACAAUAUUAAAUUGAAGACUGAUGCAUAUGCAGAGAAUGAUCACAUCGAAAACACUAAACAAGUACCAAUAAUUGAUGAAUUGACAGGUAAAUCAAGUGUUGGAUACAAGUAUUUGUUUGAUUUGCAAUUUUGAACUUUCACGAAUGAACCUGAUAGUUUGUACUGCCUUUAUUUUUUGAUCUGAGAAAGGAAAGUCGGAUUUUCCAGAAUGAUGAUUUAUGAAUGGAUAUUUGUGGAAGCUAUAAGCAUGAAGGUAGCACAAUACAAAGUAACAUAAAAUGAAGUUAGUCAGUCAAAAUGAUAUGGGGAAUUUCCAGAAUUAUAAUUAUGUGCAAAUGAAUAUAGAAUGUUUUACUCAAUUUCCUUAUUUUUGACAUUCUCCUAAAAAAAAUUCGUAACAUGAAAUAUCGUCCUAUUGCAAAUUUCUGAUACCUGUUCAUUUAUUUUUUAAUUCUCUCUCUAUAGCUUUUGAUAGUGUGAUUGUUUUUUUUCUGACAGGUGUUUUAUAAAACCUCAAUCCACCUAUUUUUAGAAAAAAAAUGUUGCUUUUUGUACUGUGCUACUUUAAAUCCAACAAUGAAAAUAAAACAAAAAUACAUAUUACACUUUCUUCCAGUUAUAUGCCGACAAAUGUAUUAUUUUACAAGUCAUAAAUAAAUUUCUUUCUGUUUUAUCAUUACAAUACGAUAAAUGAUAACUGAUGAGACAUUUAAGUAUCGAGAUGU